rnacentral:rRNA from 1 species
UACGUAGGCAGCAAGCGUUGUUCGGAGUUACUGGGCGUAAAGGGUGUGUAGGCGGUUCUUUAAGUUUGGUGUGAAAUCUCCCGGCUCAACCGGGGGGGUGCGCCGAAUACUGAGGGACUAGAGUGUGGGAGAGGAAAGUGGAAUUCCUGGUGUAGCGGUGAAAUGCGUAGAUAUCAGGAGGAACACCGGUGGUGUAGACGGCUUUCUGGACCAUAACUGACGCUGAGACACGAAAGCGUGGGUAGCAAACAGG